rnacentral:rRNA from 1 species
GACGAACGCUGGCGGCGUGCUUAACACAUGCAAGUCGAACGGUAAGGCCCUUCGGGGUACACGAGUGGCGAACGGGUGAGUAACACGUGGGUGAUCUGCCCUGCACUUCGGGAUAAGCCUGGGAAACUGGGUCUAAUACCGGAUAGGACUCCUGCCUGCAUGGGUGGGGGUGGAAAGCUUUUGUGGUGUGGGAUGGGCCCGCGGCCUAUCAGCUUGUUGGUGGGGUGAUGGCCUACCAAGGCGACGACGGGUAGCCGGCCUGAGAGGGUGACCGGCCACACUGGGACUGAGAUACGGCCCAGACUCCUACGGGAGGCAGCAGUGGGGAAUAUUGCACAAUGGGCGCAAGCCUGAUGCAGCGACGCCGCGUGAGGGAUGACGGCCUUCGGGUUGUAAACCUCUUUCAGCAUCGACGAAGCGAAAGUGACGGUAGGUGCAGAAGAAGGACCGGCCAACUACGUGCCAGCAGCAGCCGCAG